GGGAGGAGCUGGGGCUGCACCCGGAGGAUUCUAGGCACACUCACACAUGGGAAACAAGAGCAGCUGCAGUGACUUCAGAGAGUUUUCAGUGAUUUUCUCAAAAUGGCCACAAUGAUUUCAUCCAAAUUCCCCUCAGGGAUAGCUGGGAUCCCACAGCCUUGGCCUGGGCAGGGCACCCUGGAGGCAGGGAUGAAAAUGCCCAGGAAAGGACUGUCUUCUGGUUCUGAGAAGGAGAGCUGAGGCAAAGCCAAAAUCUGGGUUUGGAGUGAUUGUUGUGAAGAUCACAAGGAAAGUAUACAAAAGAAGUACCAUAGUUGGCCACCAGUGCAUGUUAAUUUCUUUUCCUUUUGUUUUUCACAAC